UGGGAGAAAGGAAGGAAUCACGUGGCGUGCCAGUUCUUUGAAAGGCAUCUGAGAGGAGGAGUAACGGGAAAAUGCGGGAGGGGAACCGCUUCCCAAGAAUCCCUGCGCAGAGAUCCUUAGAAUAAAUGUUAUUUCUAGGCGCCGACCUGCUUGCGGCCGAAAGUGGGCACGACAGAUUUCUUUGAAAACAACAAAGUUUGAAAAUACACCCACAAACACUUUUGGGGUGCUACCCUGCCAGUCGUUUUACUAGGUGGUGGGAGGAGAACGAUGUACAAGACAUUUCCUAGAACCGCGUGGCAGCCGCUCCAGCUUCCUGACAAGGAGCAACGCUCUCCUUGACUUCACUUUUUAAAAACAAAGGACUGAUCUUACUUUCUAGGGAGCUACUGAUUCACAGAAGGAAAGUGCUCACGGGUGAGGAGAGCCAUUCUGGACCCUAGAUUAAGCUGCAGCCGCCUUGAAUCUGCUUAUUCUCUCCACCAGCCCUGGGAAAGGCACACACGUGGUUCCCUGCAAAAGCCUUUUUCAUUCCUGGCCUCUGCUGUGUGACAGACUGGGACUCACGCCAACAGCCACUUUGCCUCUACGGCCUUUGGAGUUCGACUAGAAGAUGACCACCGGCUCCAGCUUGCAACAGCAGCUCCUGCAGCUCCUCGGCCUCCGUCACCCGACUGUAAGCUUCAGGAGGACCUGGAGCUGUGACUUGCGGCUCCAUCCCCAGCAGGGUUCAGUGCCUGUGGCACAGCAGUGUCUGAAGGUGUGGAUGGCCUGGGGCUUGGGUCAGUGCUGCUCUUCACUGCAUUGGGAACUGAAGAGGCGAGAGAGGAGGGAAGGCCAUUCAGUUUCAAAAAAAGUAAUGCCCCCGAGGCUCACAGUCUAAAGCGACAGACAGACAGAAACAAUACAUCUUUUUUAUGUGUGUGGUAGUACUAGAGAUUGAACCCAGGGCC